UGAUGCAGAGAAGGGUACCAAGUGGUUGGUUCUGAGAGUUGAGCUGGCGCUGCAGAUGAAGGAACUGCAGAGGAGGAUGUUGCUGCUUUAAUCAAGGAAAGUGGAACUGAGAAGCCAAUAGUAGCAUUCAUUGCCGGUCUUACAGCUCCACCCGGUCGUCGUAUGGGUCAUGCUGGAGCUAUUGUGUCAGGAGGCC